GGAAGGUGCACUUGGAUAAAU
rnacentral:rRNA from 5 species